CUGCAAAAUGUUUGAGGAACAUUUAAAGAGAAUGAACCCGAACAGCCCAUCCAUCACCUAUGACAUAAGCCAGCUCUUUGACUUCAUCGAUGACCUUGCUGACCUCAGCUGCCUCGUCUAUCGGGCAGACACACAGACAUACCAACCGUAUAACAAGGACUGGCUGAAAGAGAAGAUCUACAUCCUGCUCCGCCGACAGGCCCAGCAAGCGGGGAAAUAACUCCAGCAGCAGCUCGUCAACCUGCAGAACACAGCCUUCCUUAAUCCUCGGGAGAUUCUCUUCACUCACGCCUGGUACUUCUGGUCAUAUUUUUAAGCGAUCCCCCCAAAAUUUGUAGGACUCUUUUAAGAUGUUUGUUUUACCAUUUUUCUCCCCUCCCGCAGUCUCUUUUAGAAAUCUUUUGGUUUUUUUUUAAAUGAAAAUGUGUUUUAAAGCUGUAAAAUAUUCCAGAGACACUGCCUUGACCUGUCGGCGGUUUCAGGCCCUCGGCUGAAUCACUGGGGGCGCGAGUCUCUGAUGGUAUACAGCACCUCCGUUGAUGGGCUUUCAGUGUCCUACAGUUAAAUUAUUGGUAGACCAGGAACGAUGAGAAACACACCCAUUGACAAAACCUUCUAUGGAUUAGAGUUGGUAAAACGAUUCUUCGCUGGGCUGUUUAUACAGAGCUAUGGCACUGUGUUUGUUUAAUACUGUUUGGAUUUUUUUGUUGCGAGUGAUUUUUGCAGUCAAUCUUGAUUAAAGUUUUUUUUAUUGAAGUGCUA